rnacentral:lncRNA from 1 species
AGCACAGUGGACAUAGAUUCUUGUGGUCCCUACGUCGACCACCGCCAACAGGUAAGAUGGAAUCUCCAAGUGAGUACGAGAAUCCACAAGAAGUUUUACCUGAAGGAUUCUUAGAUCGAACGGCUAAGAUUGGAAAGAUAGUUGGAUGGGCUCCACAAGCAGCUAUUUUAGCUCAUCAAGCUAUAGGAGGAUUUGUUUCUCACUGUGGAUGGAACUCUACAUUGGAGAGCAUAUGGUAUGGUGUUCCAAUUGCAGCAUGGCCAAUGUACGCAGAGCAACAGUUCAAUGCCUUUGAAAUGGUGAUUGAACUAGGAUUAGCUGUGGAAAUUAAAAUGGAUUAUAGAAAAGAGAGCAAAAUAAUUAUAAAUAGUGAUGAAAUUGAAAGAGGAAUAAGGUGUUUGAUGGAGCAAGAUAGUGAAAAGAGAAAGAAAGAGAAGGAGAUGAGUGAAAGGAGCAGAAUGGCUUUAAUGGAAGGUGGAUCUUCAUACAUUUGGUUAGAUUGUUUAAUGAAAGAUGUCAUGAGCAAUAUGGCAUGAUCAAAACAUUCCCAUUAUAUGGUUUUGUUUGUCAUUUUUCUUUUCUCCCAAAUUAGCCAAUGUUGGUGUCUAUGGCUCUUACUCAAUAAUGUAUUAAUAUAUAUAUAUAUGUGUGUGUGUGUGUAUGUACUUCUUAAACUCAAAGAAUGAGAAAAUUCCGAAUGAAGAAAGAAAGUUACUUACAUCACAGAUCUACUGGGAUUGGUUUUUAUUUUUCAAAGAGAGAAACCUAAGUUUCCCUCCUCUCUCUCUCCAUAAAGAAAUUAAAAAUGGAGAAGAUGGCUAGCAUAAGUAGAAUAAGAAGCCCAAAUGCCCAUCAUUUUGUCGCUCUCAAUUUGAUCAUAAUUUCAUCAUUCCUGCAUCUUCUUUAUCUCCUUAGUAUGUAAAAAUCUGAACUUUUCCUCUUUUCUUUUUGUCUUUUUACUUUUUUUUUUUUUUUUCCUCUGUUAUGCUGUUAUUGGAGUAGUAGCUAAUGCCAUUGGUGGCUGGUUAAAUCUGAGAACAAAGAAAUUGUUGUUACUAGGAUUGCAUUUAGUAAGUUUGAGAUGGAAGAUUUGUGGAGUCAAAUGGGGGCAUAAAAAUAUUUUCCUUUGUAAAAUCAUGUGGGACCAAGUGAAUUGUAGUGAUUUGUUUUGUUGGACGUCCACCGCAUGAUGGAGCUCGUUUCACCCCAGUAAGAUUUUGGGCGUUCCACCGCUGGAAAAAGAAAGAGGAAUAAGGUGUGUGAUGGAGCAGGAUAAUGGAAAAAGAAAGAAAGUGAAGGAGAUGAGUGGAAGGAGCAAAAUGACUUUAAUGGAAGGUGGGUCUUCAUACAUUUGGUUGGAUUGUUUAAUAAAAGAUGCCAUGAAAAAUAUGUCAUAAUUAAAAUAAUCUCAUUAACUCGAAGGAGAAUAAGCGCAAUGCAAACUCCUCUAGCCCCUUUGUUUUCGAGGGCAAGCGAAAAUUAAUCAGGCUUAUCACGAAUAUAGAUACGGACAUAUCCCCUUUGCUUUCGAAGGCAAGCGAAAAUUAAUCAGGCUUAUCACGAAUAUAGAUACGGACAUACCGUGAAAGUAUAAAAAAAAGAUAGAAUGAAAAUAAGGGCAAUCUUAGACAAUAACCUUAGUCAAAGGACAAUUUUUGAUUUUGUUUGUCACUUUUUCUUUUCUCCCAAUUUAGCGGACUUUGAUGCAUAUGGUUCCUACUCAAGAAUGUAUUGUGCUUCAAGCAUCUUUUGCUUAGUUUUGUAAGUUUCAAAUAAUGCAAGCCCACGGCUGUAGUGAAUAUAAUUUUAUUAUUAAAAGUUGAAUUUUUUAUUUAUCUAAUUUUUAUUCUUUAACAAAUUUUAAGGACUCUUUAUUUAUCAUUUUUUUUAAAUUUAUUAUGCGAUUAUUCAUCUAAUUUUUAUUCCGUAAUAAAUUUUAAGCACUCUUUAUUUAUUAUUAUUUUAAUUCAUUAAAGGUUUAUAUGCGAUAAAUAUAUGUGCUACACAAUAGGGGUAGUCUUCUCUUUGGCUCACAAAACCGGUGAAAACAACUGUGAUUAAGAGAACCCGAACUCGAGACCUCUCAAUCCUCAUAUAAGUGAGAAGAUCAAUCAAACUACUAACUGAUUGGCUCUCUCUAUAUCAUUUAAAUUUUAAAAUCAAUUUUAAUUUGUAUCACAGGAAAAAAAACUAAUUUCAUCGUUAAAUGACUUUAGAAUUUGAUAAAAUUAUAAAAUUCAAUCAAAAUUUUAAAAAUAACCAAAUCAAAUAACCAAAAUCCAUCCCUAAUAAUGAACAACUCUAGAAGUCUCCAUUUUGCCAUAUGUGGGAGGAGAGAGAAUUUUGAGGGUUAUAAAGAUAUAGUGCAACAUGUAAAGAUGGAGAUAAAAAUGGAGAGACUUUUGGUAUUAUAAACAAUGUUGGGAUAAGCUAAUCUACUCAAUGAGGUACAAUUCUAGGUGCUUAGGAGUUAAAAGGUCAUUUUAAAAUGGAAAUGAAACAACUCAAAUAGAUUAGAAUAAAAAUAUGAUUCUAUUCGGAAAUAAUGUUUAAAUAUAGUGUUUGGUAAUAAGGUCAUUUUUUUUUUCUUUUGUUUUCAACAAAGGCGGCUAACAUAUAUAUUAUAUGUUUUUUUUUUUUUUUUUUUUUGACAUUAUAUAUUAUAUGUUUUAGGUAACACCCAGCAAAGCCAUGGCAUCACUGUUUUUGUUCUUCUAGCUUGCAAUUUAUAAUACCGCAAAAUAGCAACACAACAAAGGUGGCUCCUUUUCCUAUGCUUAUGAAAACUAACUCAGUCACUGCCGCUUCAAGCUCAGAAGAAAAAUAGAUAUCUCCUGUCAAAAUGGAAGAAGCACAGCUCGUAUUCGUCCCUACCCCUGGUAUAGGCCACCUUAUAUCCACGGUGGAAUUGGCAAAGCUUCUUCUUAACCACCGCCACCAUGGACUCUCCGUCACUGUCCUUGUCAUGAAGCUAUCUAAUUUUGGUUCCAACGUUACUAACAACUACAUUCAAUCACUUGCAGCCUCCACUUCCUUGUCCGAUCGAAUCAGAUUCAUUGACUUACCCGAAGACAAGCUCGAAACAUUUAGUAUCGCUUCUUUUAUUGAGAGACAGAAACCUCAUGUCAAACAAGUUAUUUCUGAGAUCACUCAAUCUGGGUCUGAUUCGCCUCGACUAGCUGGUUUCGUUCUUGAUAUGUUUUGUGCAACGAUGAUAGAUGUCGCUAAUGAUUUUGGUGUUCCAUCUUACAUUUUCUUUACUUCAAGUGCAGCUUUUUUUGGUUUCGUGCUUCAUUUGCAGGUGAUUUACGAUGAACAGAAUGUUGAUCCAACUGAGUUGAAGGAAUCGGACAUUGAGUUAGAAGUCCCGGGUUUGGUAAACCCAUUUCCUGCUAAGGUUAUGCCUUCCGCGAUGUUAAGCGAAGAGUGGUUUCCUCCCUUGCUCGACAAUUUCAGAAGGUAUAAGGAAGCUAAGGGUAUUAUCGUAAACACAUUAUUUGAGCUAGAAUCCUAUGCAAUCGAGUCUUUUUCUAAUGGUAAAACUAGAAAAACCCCUCCCAUGUAUCCAGUGGGUCCCAUUUUGAAUGUGGGGUCCGAUGGAAGCAGCAAACAGCAGGAAAUCAUGGAAUGGCUUGAUGAUCAGCCUCCAUCAUCAGUGGUGUUCCUGUGCUUUGGGAGCUGGGGAAGUUUUGAUGAGGAUCAAGCGAAAGAGAUUGCCUAUGCGCUAGAGCACAGUGGACAUAGAUUCUUGUGGUCCCUACGUCGACCACCGCCAACAGGUAAGAUGGAAUCUCCAAGUGAGUACGAGAAUCCACAAGAAGUUUUACCUGAAGGAUUCUUAGAUCGAACGGCUAAGAUUGGAAAGAUAGUUGGAUGGGCUCCACAAGCAGCUAUUUUAGCUCAUCAAGCUAUAGGAGGAUUUGUUUC